AGCCCAAAGCCUUGGUCUUCUCUGGAGAUGCCACCAACAGCAGCCACACUGAGCUAGCAGCUUUCCAAACCUGAUGCUUUCUUCUUCCUCAAUCUGCUGAGCCAGGACACAGGUCUCCAUAGAAGCAUGACUGCUCGUGUUUCUGCUGCUUUAGGUCAAUGCCCACAAAGAAGUCUGAACCCCAAGAAACGUAUCUGGAUCAUCUUCUUUGUGUUUAUGCUGGGAAACAUGCCGGCUGCUCCAGUAUCCCAUCAGUUAGCACGAGGAAUGUCAGCUGUCACCUGUGUCUGUCGCGGCGAUUUCCCUCUUC